CGUGGGUAACCUGCCCAAGAGACUGGGAUAACACCUGGAAACAGAUGCUAAUACCGGAUAACAACACUAGACGCAUGUCUAGAGUUUAAAAGAUGGUUCUGCUAUCACUCUUGGAUGGACCUGCGGUGCAUUAGCUAGUUGGUAAGGUAACGGCUUACCAAGGCAAUGAUGCAUAGCCGAGUUGAGAGACUGAUCGGCCACAUUGGGACUGAGACACGGUCCAAACUCCUACGGAGGCAGCAGGC
rnacentral:rRNA from 1 species